CUGAUGACUUUCAAGAGCUUUGUGGAAGAACUUAACUCACAUGACAACAAGAAACGUGGGAUAUUUUCGACAAUUCCCCGGGAACGGAAACAACCCACAGAGAGAAUUUAUUGGACUACUCUUAGUCAGUGCCCCAGAAAUCUGAAAAUAGCUGGUCCUGGUUCUUGGCUUCCUCAUGAGACAGAACAGAAACACAUCAACCAGCCACCAUUCCUCUUAGCCUCCAAGCGGACAGGCAAUAAAGUCUACCAGAUGAUUUUGGGAAAUUGGAAUCCAGUUGGGGUAGGCCGCUACCUCAACACCACUCUGAUGGAGACCAUAGACAGAAGGCAACGAUACCGCAAUCUGUUCCUGAGUGGACCCAAGCGCUACCUGCUAGACCCUGCCCGAGACAAACUCUUACAGUAAGUAUAGCUGGAGCUCUUGGAAGGGGUUGAGGGGAGAUAGUAUGACCCUUGGUGGCCUGGAAGAGGAGCAUGCUUGGUUCC
rnacentral:lncRNA from 1 species